rnacentral:misc_RNA from 1 species
GUAGGUGAACCUGCGGAAGGAUCAUUAUCGAAUUAUAAUCCGGCGAGGGGAAAGGGGGGAGUUGUCGCUGGCCUUUUACGAGGCAUGUGCACGCUCUCCUUGGAACCUUUGCCUUAUGGGCGCGGGGCGACCCACGUCUUCAUAUACCUCUUCGUGUAGAAAGUCUUCGAAUGUUUAUAUUAUCAUCGAGCCGCGACUUCUAGGAGACGCGGUUCUUUGAGACAAAAGUUAUUACAACUUUCAGCAAUGG